AUUGAACGCUGGCGGCAGGCCUAACACAUGCAAGUCGAACGAGUCGCGGACGUGUUAGUAAUGUCUGUGAAUCUUCCUGAUGGAUGGGGAUAACUACUGGAAACGGUUGCUACUACCGCAUACCUUCACAUGUGCCCAGGUGGGAAUAGCUUGUUGGUGGGGUAACGGCUCACAAAGGCGACUAUCCCUAGCUGGUCUGAGAGGAUGACCAGUCACACUGGAACUGAGACACGGGCCAGACUCCUACGGGAGGCAGCAGUGGGGAAUAUUGCACAAUGGGCGAAAGCCUGAUGCAGCCAUGCCGCGUGUAUGAAGAAGGCCUUCGGGUUGUAAAGUACUUUAAGUGGGGAGGCGUUACCAACAGAAGAAGAACCGGCUAACUUCGUGCCAGCAGCCGCGGUAAUAC
rnacentral:rRNA from 1 species